CCACAAAACCCGUGAAACCCAAGUCUCUCCUAUCGUGCGAGGUGAAUUCAAAGUUAUUUAUUUAUAUUUUUGUUUGUUUUGACAACUGUUUUUUGUUUGCCGAAGUUUUGCAUGGUUUAUUUUGUGCUUAUAGGCAGCGGUGACACCAAUUGACUAAUCCAAUAAGCUAAUCCGAAACUAAUCGUAGGAAGACAGCCCCCGGCAACAAAGAAAUUUAUUACCGUUGCAAAUCCAUCGAAACCGCCCUGGACUUUUUCGAAGCAGCGCCUUGGGAACGACAACGAUGCAGUGUUCACAUUUUCAACAGCAAGGCUUGUUUGUGAAGCUAUCCCGAAUUCUCGGUCGGUUUUCCGGUCGGUCAGCCAGAAUCCAGCGAAAGGAAAGCGGAAACCGCAAGGAAUACGACAGCAAUACGACCGAAGAUAGCCGAUAUCCUCAGUUGGUGCGAGGAUGGGAGUAGUUCAGAGCUGUUCAGAGGAUUGUCCACAGCCCACAAAUCUUUGUCGUUUUACCAUAGCCACUGCUCUCUGGAAAUAUGCGCUUGCAUCCGGAAGAUGAUUAUUUGGUUUUUGUGAUUAGUACAAUGUCCGAGGUAUCAGUCGGAAAAGUUUUCUGAAACUAA